GCGCGCAGGGCCGGAGGCGGCGGUGGGGGAGUUCCCGACGGUGGGAGCGGAAUAUCGGGUGGCGGGAUAAUCACCCACACCCAGACCACAAAGAAUGGCUCAGUCCUAUGAAGUGGAACAAGGUCUGGAGGGCCCAUGAUGAGACGAUCCCAGCACUCAAGGGUCUCUCUCACCUAGGCUGGAGUACAGUAGAGCGAUCAUGGCUCACUGCAAUGAACUGCUGGGCUCAAGCGAUCCUUCUGCCUCAGCCUCCUGAUUAGUGGGGACUACAGCUGCAGACCACCACACCUGGCUCAUUUUUUUGUACAGAUGGGGUCCCACUAUGUUGCCCACGAUGGUCUCAAACUCCUGGGCUCAAGCAAUCCUCCUGCCUCAGCCUCCCAAAGUGCUGGAAUUAAAGGUGUGAGCCACCUCAUCCAGCUAGUGCCAUGAAUAAAUGAAGAUCUGUAGCUUUCCUCACCCAGAAUGGGCUGGGGCAGGGAGAGGUCUCACCCUAUCCUUGAAUCCCCCUUUCCUGAAAGUCUUCUUUCAGAUCUCUGAGGACUCGGGGAGAACAGGCCAGCUGGCUGUAUCUGGGCCCAUGCAGAACAGAGCUGGGAACUGAGGCCCCGUAGGUAGAAUGGGGGGUGGGGCCUCAGCUCUCCCAAACUUCCUCCCUUCCUCUUAGCAAGGGCUGACAGUGAUCAGGAACCUUUGUGUGAUCCCAGCAGUCAUCCUUCUGCCUCCACUCAAGGGUCUCCUCCCAAUACACCUACCACAGCCAACAAUGGGCAUGGGGGGCUGUGGAGGAAGGAGGGGAACUGAAGAGACUGGGCC
rnacentral:lncRNA from 10 species